rnacentral:rRNA from 1 species
UACGAAGGGGGCUAGCGUUGCUCGGAAUCACUGGGCGUAAAGGGCGCGUAGGCGGCGGGGUAAGUCUGGUGUGAAAUCUAGGAGCUCAACUCCUAAACUGCACUGGAUACUGCUCUGCUAGAGGACUGGAGAGGAGACUGGAAUUCACGGUGUAGCAGUGAAAUGCGUAGAUAUCGUGAGGAAGACCAGUGGCGAAGGCGGGUCUCUGGACAGUUCCUGACGCUGAGGCGCGAAGGCCAGGGGAGCAAACGGG